GGGGACAUGGUCUAGUGGUAUGACGGAUCCUUAGCAUGUUUGAAGUUCCGCUUCACAGCUUGGAUCAGGUCCGGGGUUCGAUUCCCCGUGUCUCCA
rnacentral:tRNA from 1 species